GGCCUCACUCCUGUAGCACAUAUAACAACACUGGACUAUUACAGAGAAAAUUAGCAUAGUGCCUGUGCAAAAAUGACUCAUGAAUUUGUAAAGUUGCCAUAUUUUU
ensembl:snRNA U6 U6 spliceosomal RNA